CGCAGGCGGUUUGUUAAGCGAGAUGUGAAAGCCCCGGGCUCAACCUGGGAACUGCAUUUCGAACUGGCAAACUAGAGUGUGAUAGAGGGUGGURGAAUUUCAGGUGUAGCGGUGAAAUGCGUAGAGAUCUGAAGGAAUACCGAUGGCGAAGGCAGCCACCUGGRUCAACACUGACGCUCAUGUACGAAAGCGUGGGGAGCAAACAGGAUUAGAUACCCUGGUAGUCCACGCCGUAAACGAUGUCUACUAGAAGCUCGGAUCCUCG
rnacentral:rRNA from 1 species